AACAAUUCUUAGCUUGGUUUUGAGCAACGCAGAAAACAAAUUUACAGAUAAGAAGUAUUCACCAACACUAACUAAUAAGACUGGACUUAGAGGACUUCAAGAACAUUUCCUAAUAUGACUUUUUCAGGACGAGAUCAC
rnacentral:lncRNA from 1 species